rnacentral:misc_RNA from 1 species
GAUGAAGAACGUAGCGAAAUGCGAUAAGUAAUGUGAAUUGCAGAAUUCCGUGAAUCAUCGAAUCUUUGAACGCACAUUGCGCCCGCCAGUAUUCUGGCGGGCAUGCCUGUUCGAGCGUCAUUUCAACCAUCAAGCCCCCCGGCUUGUGUUGGGGACCUGCGGCUGCCGCAGGCCCUGAAAAGCAGUGGCGGGCUCGCUGUCACACCGAGCGUAGUAGAUCUCAUCUCGCUCAGGGCGUGCUGCGGGUUCCGGCCGUUAAACCACCUUCAUAACCCAAGGUUGACCUCGGAUCAGGUAGGAAGACCCGCUGAACUUAAGCAUAUCAAUAAGCGGAGGA